rnacentral:tRNA from 1 species
AGGAUUUUAGUUUAAAAAAAACAUUUGAUUUGCAUUCAAAAUUUAUUGUAAAAACAAUUUAUCUUA